AUUUAAUGUGUAGAUGCAGGCAUUGUAUAUAAACUUUACAGAUUAAUUUGGAGCAAAUUUGUAAUAUUGAAUAGUAUCAUAAAAUUAAGGUGAGAAAGAUGAAUAAUAAAACUAAAUCAGUUGAUCUGAUGAGUAUCAGUCCAAGUAUUUGUUCUGGAAGAUUCAAUCCUGAAGGUCCUAGAGGGGGGUGAAUAGGCUUUUAUUACUUUUUCGUCCAAUUCCGUUCACAAGGAUAGCUAUCAUGAUAACAGGGAGACGUAGUAAUAAAUAAAAGAACAAGUACUGGAAAGUAAAAGAAAUAACACCAGUACGCUUUUUAUUCGCAGAAACUCUGCACCAAGGAGAAAAACUGCGUGUCCCUAACUCUUGAGGGACAAACCUUUCCACUAUGUAAAACUCACUUCUUACAAGAUUAUAGUCUAGGGAUACAACGACGAUUUGCAAUCAUGCCUAGUCUACCCACUAGUCUAGAUCUAUCUCUCUUGUCUCUGAGUGACUCACCUCACUCCUCACAAGAUUAUAGUUCUAGGGAUACAACAACGACUUGUUAUCCUACCUAGUCUACUAGUUUAGACCUACCUCUCUUGUCUCUCAAGUGUUUACAUAUAAAGGUAUAAGAAGAAGUUUAACUCAGAACUCAGCUAAAGCCUUUAACUGAUUCUUCUUGAACACUUCUCAAAAUACUCAACUCAGAACUUAGCUAUCCUAAUGAGAGGGAUUCUUCAGACCUCAGCUAACGCCUUUAACUGACUCUCUAGAACUCAGCUCUCCUCGAUCAACUGAUCCUUCUUGAAUACUUCUGGGGUUGCUACACUACCAUCACUCAUGAUAUGCAAAAUGCUAAUAGGUUUAUGAAAAUAGUUUUUGCUCUUGCUCUAAGAUUUACAAUCACCAAGGGAAGACUUAAAGGCAAAUGAACAAUGCAAGGUAAAACCUAGACCCAAUUAAAACAAUGUAGAAAACUACAUCUUGAUAACCAAGGAGCAAGAAGAGACUUGCUCCAUAUAUAUAGGCAAAGUGCAAGCUAAAGGAGAGCAUGCACGUUUACCAAAAUGAGAGGCAACUUUUGAACUUUAGUUCUUGGCCAAACUCAUAAAGUGAGAUGGCCAAGGGACAAACAAAAGGCUCCAAGAGAGUAAAGACAAACACAACUCUCUUAUAUGAUAGUGGUCCAAUAAGGAAGAAACAAAAGGUUUUGUGAAUAAAAGAGACACAACAAAAUAUAUUCCUAUAUGAGGACAAAUAGGCCAACUAAUAGCUUGGGCGGUGCAUCACAUAGAUUAGCAGCUGACUUGAUUUGUGUAUCACAAAACCCAGUUGGACUAAAAAAGGAGCUGACCUAAAAGUGCUUUAGUCAUAUGCUCAUGGGUUGGAAGAACAACACAACCCUAGACUAACUUAGAGCCAAGCACAAUGAAAAAUGUUUUGCUAAAAGAGAUUUGAAAUUCAAAUACUUGAAAAGCUGAAGCAAAACCAUUUAAAUCUGCACGAAGUCAGACUCAGAGAUUAGGAUAGAUACAACAGAGGUAUCCAUCAAAUCUAGAUGGCAAGCAGAGCUGCCAUCCUGAAUGAAUAUGAUGCACAUGCAUGAACUACCUUAUGUACAUGAGAUAAAAACAAAGAGCCAGCUAAUAUAUUAGUUUGUGUAUCACAAACCUAGCUGGAGCCUCUAAGCUCUAGUCAUGUGGUCACGGGUUGGAAACACUAUACAACCCUAGACUGACUUGAAGCACCAUGGCAGCGACAAAUGUUUUGCUAAAGGGAUUUGAAUUCAAAUAGGAGAAUUCAAACUAAUGAUACACAAAUAGCAAAAGCAUCUAGACAUGCAUACAUAUAGACCCAAAAGAUUAGGACAGAUAUACCAGGAGGUAUCAUCCGAUCUAAGAUGACAAGUAAAGCUGCUAUUCUUAGUGAAAAGCAUGAGAUGUAUAUGCAUGAACUACCUGAUGCACAUGAGAUCUUGGCAAGUCUUCAUUCUUCACUUGUGAUAUCUUUACCAUCAAGAUAUAUAGAAUUCUCAGUGAAAAGCAUCAGAUGCAUAUGCAUCAGUACCUAGGACACAUGUGAUCUUGUCAAGUUUUCAUUCUUUACUUAUGAUAUCCUUAAUUAUCAUCAGGAUAUAUAAAAUAGCUUGUGUCCUGUGUUUUGAUCAUAAAAGGGAUAUCCAACAAUCCUUAUACCAACAAAUCCAAUGACAUGAUUUGC
rnacentral:lncRNA from 1 species